ACAGAAGGGCUGGCUCAUUUUUUGCGCAACGGAUCAGCCUGGUUGUCCAGCGUGGAAAUGCAGCCAGUAUUCUUGGCACCAUUCUAAGCGGGCAUGAUUUCUAUAGUAGUUAUUUUUUUUUUUUUUUUUAUAGAUAUA